GGAGCGAUGUCGUUACAAUGACUUCAUGGUUCAUUUCCUUUAGGGGAAUAUUGAACCGGGUUCUGUUUCGAUUGUACUACUGGUACUUGUUUAUUUAUAAUAUAUAGAUCAACCAUCUAUAGUAAAAUAGAUAGAGAUAAACAAGAGAAAACAGAAGCCGAGUCUAAAGACAGACACGGUUGAACUAGUCCUAUAGCUCAGUUGGUUAGAGCGCUACACUGAUAAUGUAGAGGUCGGCAGUUCAACUCUGCCUGAGACUACUCCGAAACGACUCUUACGGGGGAUUAGCUCAGCUGGCUAGAGCAUCUGCCCUGCACGCAGAGGGUCAACGGUUCGAAUCCGUUAUUCUCCACAUCCCCAGCAAUGGGAAACGAUCUUUGACAUGAUGUACAAAAAGUAAAAUAAAAGUAAAGAGCUAAAAGUAUAUAUCAAACCGUACUCUCUCCGAUAUUUUCCCAUUUCAGUAAUGGAUAGUUUUCGGAGCAGUCAGUUU
rnacentral:tRNA from 1 species